CUGUUGUUUAGGCUGGUUGAAUGAGUUGCCUAUGAAAGCUACUUCAUCUGUAAGAAAACAGGCGUCUGCACCAGUGACUGGGUCAGUGCUCUAAAAUGAGUCUCUCUGGGGAGAGAAAGGAGGGGGGCCCUGCCUCUAAAAUGAGUCUCUCUGGGGAGAGAGAGGAGGGGGGCCCUGCCUCUAAAAUGAGUCUCUCUGGGGAGAGAGAGGAGGGGGGCCCUGCCUCUAAAAUGAGUCUCUCUGGGGAGAGAGAGGAGGGGGGCCCUGCCUCUAAAAUGAGUCUCUCUGGGGAGAGAGAGGAGGGGGUCCCUGCCUCUAAAAUGAGUCUCUCUGGGGAGAGAAAGGAGGGGGGCCCUGUCUCUAAAAUGAGUCUCUCUGGGGAGAGAGAGGAGGGGGGCCCUGCCUCUAAAAUGAGUCUCUCUGGGGAGAGAGAGGAGGGGGGCCCUGCCUCUAAAAUGAGUCUCUCUGGGGAGAGAGAGGAGGGGAGUCCUGCCUCUAAAAUGAGUCUCUCUGGGGAGAGAGAGGAGGGGGGCCCUGCCUCUAAAAUGAGUCUCUCUGGGGAGAGAGAGGAGGGGAGUCCUGCCUCUAAAAUGAGUCUCUCUGGGGAACAUGACACCAAAGCUAAGAGCCCAAUCCAUCAGGAGAGACCAGACUCACCCAGCUCUCUGUCCAUGAAGAGUGACGGGUCUAUGGACCAUUUCUAUGAUUGCGAAGAUGGAGACUUUUCUGCAUUUACAGGCCCAAUCAAGCAGGAGAGACCAGCCUCCCCUGUACCCAGCUGUGUGUCCAUGAAGAGUGACUGGUCUAUGAAUCCUCCUCUAAAAUUUAGAAAGGGAGACUUUUCUACUGAACAAAGGUAAGAAGAACUCAUGGGUCCUGGUCAGUGAGUUAAACAACACUGUCUCUAGUCAUUUCUCCUCCCAUUUUCCCAUUUAUUGUUGUUGUUUUCAUAAUCAAUAGGCUAAUAAUUUUGUCCAUUUUCAUAGUCCUAAAACAAUAUUAAACAAACACAACAUUGACUCAGUACUGGUUCUCCUUAUAGCCUCAUUAUUACCUCAACUACCUGG